GAGGAACUUUAAACUGGAAUCAGAUAAAUUAACCCCCAGAUGUUCACACUUUUGCUUUGCUGAGGUUCCUGGCAUGUUGUUGUUUCUGUGAAUUCCAGAUGCUAAUCUGGCCUCCAUGCCUCUUGAGAAGAUUACAUUCUUGGGUAAAUUCACACUCAAGGAUCUGUGCACAGCUUCAUUCUUGUUUGUUGUGUUGUAAAGCUUCAUACUACUAAUCGCAUCUUCACUAAGCUUCAUUUUCAAGAUCUCUUGCAGUAACAACUUGUCUUUUUCGUCCAUUUGCAGGAUAGUAAUGUUAUAGCAGCCAAGAUACUUGGAGCGGGUCCACCAGUUGUAGCUCUCAUCACCUGCACAUACCACUGAGUGCUGUUUACACAUGGAGCAGUCACCAUCAUAACACCUGAUUGUCGCCUGCAGAGCCUUGGGUCAUAGGAUGAUACCAGUAGCUGGGAACGAGUCUUUAUGCCAUCAUUGUGUACAGCUGAAGUAGAAGUGAUUGUAGGUUCAUCUUUAAUGUCCUUCUGUUCAACAUUCAUUUCAACAACAGGAGCAUUAUUGAUAUCUUGGUCUGGUGUAGUGGACAACUCUAGUACAGGGACAGGAACAGGAACAUUCCAUGGAAUUCUGCCAUUCUGGAAUCUACACACAGGUGCAACUCUCCUUCUCUGCAGCCGUCCAGCUAAGCCUUUGUUGAAUGGCCAGUAACCUUUUGGAUACAUGUUGAGACAAAUAUUUUGGUGGUGCAGUGUAAAGCGUCGAAAGAAACUUGGAUGACAGACCAUAGAAGUGAUAGUAAUGUUAUAGCAGCCAAGAUACUUGGAGCGGGUCCACCAGUUGUAGCUCUCAUCACCUGCACAUACCACUGAGUGCUGUUUACACAUGGAGCAGUCACCAUCAUAACACCUGAUUGUCGCCUGCAGAGCCUUGGGUCAUAGGAUGAUACCAGUAGCUGGGAACGAGUCUUUAUGCCAUCAUUGUGUACAGCUGAAGUAGAAGUGAUUGUAGGUUCAUCUUUAAUGUCCUUCUGUUCAACAUUCAUUUCAACAACAGGAGCAUUAUUGAUAUCUUGGUCUGGUGUAGUGGACAACUCUAGUACAGGGACAGGAACAGGAACAUUCCAUGGAAUUCUGCCAUUCUGGAAUCUACACACAGGUGCAACUCUCCUUCUCUGCAGCCGUCCAGCUAAGCCUUUGUUGAAUGGCCAGUAACCUUUUGGAUACAUGUUGAGACAAAUAUUUUGGUGGUGCAGUGUAAAGCGUCGAAAGAAACUUGGAUGACAGACCAUAGAAGUGAUAGUAAUGUUAUAGCAGCCAAGAUACUUGGAGCGGGUCCACCAGUUGUAGCUCUCAUCACCUGCACAUACCACUGAGUGCUGUUUACACAUGGAGCAGUCACCAUCAUAACACCUGAUUGUCGCCUGCAGAGCCUUGGGUCAUAGGAUGAUACCAGUAGCUGGGAACGAGUCUUUAUGCCAUCAUUGUGUACAGCUGAAGUAGAAGUGAUUGUAGGUUCAUCUUUAAUGUCCUUCUGUUCAACAUUCAUUUCAACAACAGGAGCAUUAUUGAUAUCUUGGUCUGGUGUAGUGGACAACUCUAGUACAGGGACAGGAACAGGAACAUUCCAUGGAAUUCUGCCAUUCUGGAAUCUACACACAGGUGCAACUCUCCUUCUCUGCAGCCGUCCAGCUAAGCCUUUGUUGAAUGGCCAGUAACCUUUUGGAUACAUGUUGAGACAAAUAUUUUGGUGGUGCAGUGUAAAGCGUCGAAAGAAACUUGGAUGACAGACCAUAGAAGUGUUAGUUUUUAUACUUUUUGUCAUUAUGUAACUUUUGAUUCAGAUUUUUAAUUGGCUAAGUGAUGAUGUCAAUCAAUUCUGUGGAUUCUUUUGAUCUAUUUUUAGCUGCAGAUUAAAGAAAUGACCAACUCUGGCUUCAAAGGGUUUGGUCCAGUUCAAACAAAAUUCCUUAUUUUGGCCUUUAUUUGUGAAAUAAAAGUUCUUUUCCUAUUCAGAUUUUACAAACGUUAAUUUUCCAAAUUUUAGAAAGUUGUUUUGCCAUUGAAAAGUGAUUUUGUAAUUUAUUGUUAAUUUUUUGGUUCUAUUUUUGUUUGAUUUUGAAAAAAAAAAAAAAAUUCUAAAAAUCUGUUGAAUUUUUUACUUUUUUUAAUUGAAAUGAAUUUUUGGCAUCUUAACCUUUCCAAAACACUUUAUUUCAUCUCAAAAUUGCAAAAAAUAAGGAUUUUACAGCAUUUUAAAGUUUUUAUGACAUCUUGAUUUUGCCUUUGGCAGAUGGUGUAAAGGGGGUGUUGAAUAUACAGGUAAAUAAGCCAAAAGUUUAUUCAAGACCCCCAUAAAGUUAAAUUUUGUGUAUUGUAGUAUGACUGUAGAAUUUUUUAAUGCAAUUCUGAAAACUGUAGGUUGAGUUUUGAAAUUUUCAUUGAUUUUUUUAAAUAUUCUGGUUUGGAAUUUUCGUGAUUUGAAAUGAAUUUAGAAAAAUAACCUUAGUUACACAAUAAUGCGUUCUAAUUUUGGAAAAUUUUAUCAAUGAUUAAAUUUUAUCAAUGUUUCUACUUUAACAAACACUUUAGUUUUUCGUAAAAAUUGCACUAAUAAAAAAGUUAUGAGCGUUUGAAUAAAGAUGGUAUUUUGAGGAAAUUGAAAAUUCCAUACCAGAAAAAUGAUAAAAUUUGGGUGUGAAGGUAGGGGUGCAAGAAAUGCAUUUGCUGGUGCAUGCAUUGUCUGAUUGGUCUGAAAUUUGGUAUGUAGUCUUGAUAUAUAUUAAAGUUAAUGUAUGUAAAAUUUUAUUUCAUUUGGACUACUGGAAGGGUCCUAUUAGGUCCGAGGACACAGUUAUCUACCUUCAAUUUUCGUUGUCCACAAAUGUAGUUCCCUUUAAUUUCAGUGUUUUUUUUCUUAUUUUUUUUCUUUGUCUUUUUUUGGAAUUUUUCAUUAUUUGUUUGCAUUUAGGUGAAAGAUAAGACUUCAAAUAUACUGUCUGGAAAAAAUCUUUUUGAA